rnacentral:snRNA from 1 species
GGAUGUGAGGGCGAUCUGGUUGUAACACCUGUCGCCCCUUUGAUCGCCAGGGUUGAUGCGACUGACCUGGCUAGCUAGGCGGCUGUUUCCUUCCUCCUUCACUGCUCCCAUGAGCGUUUCUCCCGAAGCUGUGCCCUCAGUGAAAUCGGACAGUCAUCCCUGGUGGAGGAGGACGGGUCUUCAGUAAAGGGCCUAGGAGUAGCUGUGCUUUCCCCAUAGAACCUCCAAGGAAGCUCCCAAGUUUACCCUCUUUAAAUUGUACAUUUUAAUGUUUGGAAAGGUGUAGUAAACUUAAUUGAUUACAGAUAAAGUAGUUAAGCUCAGUUUAUUGUUUACU